GGACCCGCACAAGUAGUGGAGCAUGUGGUUUAAUUCGAAGAUACGCGCAGAACCUUACCAACACUUGACAUGUUCGUCGCGACUUUAAGAGAUUAAAGUUUUCGGUUCGGCCGGACGAAACACAGGUGCUGCAUGGCUGUCGUCAGCUCGUGUCGUGAGAUGUUGGGUUAAGUCCCGCAACGAGCGCAACCCUCACUUUUAGUUGCCAUCAUUUAGUUGGGCACUCUGAAAGAACUGCCAGUGAUAAGCUGGAGGAAGGUGGGGAUGACGUCAAGUCCUCAUGGCCCUUACGUGUUGGGCUACACACGUGCUACAAUGGCAUUUACAAUAGGAAGCAAGAUGGCAACAUUGAGCAAAUCCUAAAAAGAUGCCUCAGUUCGGAUUGCACUCUGCAACUCGAGUGCAUGAAGCUGGAAUUACUAGUAAUCGC
rnacentral:rRNA from 1 species